CUAGUUUUAUUUGAGAAAAGGUGAAAAAGAAAUGAAAUGAAAUGAAAAGCCCCGUGAGAAACUCAGAAACUGUCACGUGGUUUCCGGGACCCCCCCACCCCCACCCCGCUUUUCUAAGAAGUCAUUGUAGGCACAGCAGGGAGGAGCUGCAAACGCCACUCAAAAGGCAUUUCGCGGGCGGGGCUGCCAGAGCCUGCGGGAGCCAGGGAGGAGAGAGCUUGGCCUCCUUCCCGAGGGGUGGUUGCGACAACUUGAGAAGAUGGUGGCAAGAGAAAGGCUUGGGAUGCACUUCACCAUGAGUGAUGAAAUCCUGGUGACCGCUGCAUUUGUGCUGACCGCGGGCCUUGUUGUGUUUAAGCUGCCUCCGGCUUGUGCCACACUUUUGGUCCCGAUCUUUGCCUCAAAGGUCAUCGAUUACUUCUCAGAGAAGAAAAAGAGAAAAUGAACAGGAACUAUUGACAAGAAUCCUCUCUAAGCCCCUAAAGGACAGGGGUGGACCCACCUUCCUGCGGACAGGAAUGUCAUGAGACAACAUGCUAUACACGGUUGACAUUUUGAGUGUGAACAAAGUCAACUAUGGGCAAAAAAAAAAUCUAUUGAACAACAUUUAUUGAG